rnacentral:rRNA from 1 species
UACAGAGGUCUCAAGCGUUGUUCGGAUUCAUUGGGCGUAAAGGGUGCGUAGGCGGCGCGGUAAGUCGGGUGUGAAAUCUUGGAGCUUAACUCCGAAACUGCAUACGAUACUGCCGUGCUUGAGGACUGGAGAGGAGACUGGAAUUUACGGUGUAGCGGUGAAAUGCGUAGAUAUCGUAAGGAAGACCAGUGGCGAAGGCGGGUCUCUGGACAGUUCCUGACGCUGAGGCACGAAGGCCAGGGGAGCAAACGGG